rnacentral:rRNA from 1 species
GACGAACGCUGGCGGCGUGCUUAACACAUGCAAGUCGAACGGAAAGGCCCAGCUUGCUGGGUACUCGAGUGGCGAACGGGUGAGUAACACGUGGGUGAUCUGCCCCUGACUUUGGGAUAAGCCUGGGAAACUGGGUCUAAUACCGGAGAUGACCUUACAUCGCGUGGUGUGUGGUGGAAAGCUUUUGCGGUUGGGGAUGGGCCCGCGGCCUAUCAGCUUGUUGGUGGGGUGAUGGCCUACCAAGGCGACGACGGGUAGCCGACCUGAGAGGGUGAUCGGCCACACUGGGACUGAGACACGGCCCAGACUCCUACGGGAGGCAGCAGUGGGGAAUAUUGCACAAUGGGCGGAAGCCUGAUGCAGCGACGCCGCGUGAGGGAUGACGGCCUUCGGGUUGUAAACCGCUUUCACCAGGGACGAAGCGUGAGUGACGGUACCUGGAGAAGAAGCACCGGCUAACUACGUG